GAUGAAGAACGUAGCGAAAUGCGAUACUUGGUGUGAAUUGCAGAAUCCCGUGAACCAUCGAGUCUUUGAACGCAAGUUGCGCCUCAAGCCAUUAGGUUGAGGGCACGUCUGCCUGGGCGUCACAUAUCGUUGCCUGAUGCCAGUUUCCUCGUGAUGGGUGACUGUGCAGGGCGAAUGAUGGCUUCCCGUGAGCAUUGUUGCCUCAUGUUUGGUUGAAAAUUGAGUCCUUGGUAGGGAGCGCCGUGAUAGAUGGUGGUUGAGUGACGAACGAGACCCAAUCAUGUGAGACCCCUACCGAAUUUGGCCUUCAUGACCCACAUGCGUCUUUGGAACGCUCAUGACGAGACCUCAGGUCAGGCGGGGCUACCCGCUGAGUUUAAGCAUAUCAAUAAGCGGAGGA
rnacentral:misc_RNA from 1 species